rnacentral:rRNA from 1 species
CGCUCUCAGUUCAGAUCNCAGUCUNCAACUCGNCUGCGUGAAGCUGGAAUCGCUAGUNAUCGUAUAUCAGCAAUGAUNCGGUGAAUACGUUCCCGGACCNUGCACACACCGCCCGUCAAGCCAUGGAAGCCGGGUGUACCUAAAGUCGGUAACCGCAAGGAGCUGCCUAGGGUAAAAUCGGUGACUGGGGCUAAGUCGUAACAAGGUAUCC